rnacentral:rRNA from 1 species
UAACCUACCCAUCAGAGGGGGAUAACACUUGGAAACAGGUGCUAAUACCGCAUAACAGUUUAUGCCGCAUGGCAUAAGAGUGAAAGGCGCUUUCGGGUGUCGCUGAUGGAUGGACCCGCGGUGCAUUAGCUAGUAGGUAAGGCAACGGCUUACCUAGGCGACGAUCCCUAGCUGGUCUGAGAGGAUGAUCAGCCACACUGGGACUGAGACACGGCCCAG